AGUGGAAUAAAUGGUUAAGAAUUCAAAGGGUCAUAACCUUUGGAAUCUGCUGGCAGAUGGAUCAUCUUUUUGGUAGGAUAAAUAGGUUGAAGAAAGAAAGAUUGGAGCCAGACUGUGAGAGUCGUAAGCCGGGGUAAGCUUGGUGCUAUCUCUUUAUUUUCUUUAUUAUUUGCUUAUGAAGAAUUGUAAUUGAGAGAAGUAUUAUUGAAUUGAUAAUCGUAGAAUAGAUUAUGGA
rnacentral:lncRNA from 1 species